GCCAGGCGUGGUGGCACAUGCCUGUAAUCCCAGCUACUCAGGAGGCUGAGGCAGGAGAAUUGCUUGAGCCCGGGAAGCGGAGGUUGCAGUGAGCUGAGAUCACACCACUGCACUCCAGCCUGGGCGACAGAGCAAGACUCUGUCUCAA
rnacentral:sRNA from 1 species